UACGGGGGGGGGUAAGCGUUGUUCGGAAUUACUGGGCGUAAAGGGCUCGUAGGCGGCCAACUAAGUCAUACGUGAAAUCCCUCAGCUUAACUGGGGAACUGCGCGUGAUACUGGAUGGCUUGGAUUUGGGAGAGGGAUGCGGAAUUCCAGGUGUAGCGGUGAAAUGCGUAGAUAUCUGGAGGAACACCGGUGGCGAAGGCGGCAUCCUGGACCAAUAUUGACGCUGAGGAGCGAAAGCCAGGGGAGCAAACAGG
rnacentral:rRNA from 1 species